rnacentral:tRNA from 1 species
AAUGAGAUGCCCAAGCGGUUAAGGGGAUGGACUAGUAAUCCAUUGUGCUCUGCACAUGUGGGUUUGAGUCCCUUUUUUGUCG